rnacentral:rRNA from 1 species
CGGUUGAUCCUGCCGGACCUGACUGCUAUCGGAUUGAUACUAAGCCAUGCGAGUCAUUGUAGCAAUACAAGGCAGACGGCUCAGUAACGCGUAGUCAACCUAACCUAUGGACGGGAAUAACCUCGGGAAACUGAGAAUAAUGCCCGAUAGAACACUAUACCUGGAAUGGUUUGUGUUCCAAAUGAUUUAUCGCCGUAGGAUGGGACUGCGGCCUAUCAGUUUGUUGGUGAGGUAAUGGCCCACCAAGACUAUUACAGGUACGGGCUCUGAGAGGAGUAGCCCGGAGAUGGGUACUGAGACACGGACCCAGGCCCUAUGGGGCGCAGCAGGCGAGAAAACUUUGCAAUGUGCGAAAGCACGACAAGGUUAAUCCGAGUGAUUUGUGCUAAACGAAUCUUUUGUUAGUCCUAGAACCACUAACGAAUAAGGGGUGGGCAAGUUCUGGUGUCAGCCGCCGCGGUAAAACCAGCACCUCAAGUGGUCAGGAUGAUUAUUGGGCCUAAAGCAUCCGUAGCCGGCUCUGUAAGUUUUCGGUUAAAUCUGUACGCUUAACGUACAGGCUGCCGGGAAUACUGCAGAGCUAGGGAGUGGGAGAGGUAGACGGUACUCGGUAGGAAGGGGUAAAAUCCUUUGAUCUAUUGAUGACCACCUG